CAUCAAUGAAACAUGGGUUAUGCGGCAUAAAAAAGUAGAAUGUUGAAAACGUUUUUCAAAUACAAAUUCAACUGUAUAAUUUUGUGUCACAUAAAAUAAAUACUAUUGGUCUAAUUAGUGGUCAAGGUUGAAUCUCCAACUAUGUGGACACUCACUAUACAAGAACAGAGGAAAUAGAAAUUGCCUAAAUUGGAUAGCGUUCACUCAAAUUUUAUUGGUAAACUUUUACUUGUUCGUAUACCACUUGGUUUGUCCAUUAACUAUGCAAAAUAGAUAAUAUUUUAGGACUAAUAUACAUGGUUUUUUUAAAAGAAUAUCAAAUAGGAAGCAUGUUGAAAGUAGACUACAUUAGAACAAAUCAAAAAUAAAGUAUACAAGAGAGAAGGACGUUUGCGGUGCUUUGGCAAGGAGAUGGGAGUUGGUAGAGUUGUUCCUCAAGCAAAACCAAUUAAAACGGUGGAGACUUUUGUUACGGGGGCUAUCCAAACCUGUACAUAAUUUUUUUUUCCACUCUACACAGUGUUGGAGAUGAUGAAUCAUUAAUAUUCGGACUACUUAACAAUGGAAAAUACAAAGGAAAAAACAUUCAAGAUGAUAUAAAUUGAGAAAAAUUAAAAGAAAAAUGAACCAAAACAUCAAUAUUGAUCGCA
rnacentral:lncRNA from 1 species